rnacentral:rRNA from 1 species
UGCCAGCAGCCGCGGUAAUACGGAGGGGGCUAGCGUUGUUCGGAAUUACUGGGCGUAAAGGGCGUGUAGGCGGUUUGUCUAGUCAGGCGUGAAAGCCCCGGGCUCAACCUGGGAACUGCGUUUGAUACUGGCAGGCUAGAGUCUUGGAGAGGGGAGUGGAAUUCCAGGUGUAGCGGUGAAAUGCGUAGAUAUCCGGAGGAACACCAGUGGCGAAGGCGGCUUUCUGGACCGAUACUGACGCUGAGACGCGAAAGCGUGGGGAGCAAACAGGAUUAGAUA